rnacentral:lncRNA from 1 species
AGUUCUCUUGCAGGAUCUCCUUCCCAGCCUUCAGAAAUUGCCGGUCUGGGAGUUGGGGGCAAGGAGAAGAUCCUGCAACCCAGUGAUUCCAUGGAAAGCAGAAAGAAGGACAUAAAGAAACGGAUACUUGGUGACAUCUUUGACUCACUGGAUCAAACCUUGCCUGAAGCUCACAUUUCUGAAAUUUCCAGAUACAAGAACAAAUACUUCCUCUUUAUUGUUUUACUAGAUUUGAGACAAGCUUUAAGUUUCUCAGACUCUUCCUCUUCCUAACAGAUUUAUCAGAAGCUGAAAGCUCUGAUCUUGUUGGGAUGCGGAUCGUGUCAGGAGAAGGCUUACUUUGCACGCUUUUCUUAGUCUGGUUGCCUAACUCAAGAACCUCGGCAUGGCUCUGUUACUUCUCUACUCAGACAAGCAUCCCUGCAGACACUCACUAGGCUAACUCUGUCUUUAUUUUUAGAAUUAGACCUUUACGAGAAGCACAGUUUUGUCUUCAGUUUCCUCUCCCCCCACCCGGAAUGGCCUGAGCCGAAGCCAGCUCCCUCCGAGAAGUCAUUACCGCCUGACUUGCGUUUGAUAUUUAGACACCUUGGUCACAACAUCUUGCAUUCUCUCGGGAUGCUGAUUUCUAACUGCUCUUUGGCCUUUCCUGCAUUGGUCCUCCUCAGGCAGGGGAUCCCUGCUCUUCUAUAUUAGUGAGUA